rnacentral:rRNA from 1 species
UAUUCCAACUAAUAACCGUAAGGAUUUUAGACUUUCAAAUGUACCGGAUCCCAUCAGAACUCCGUAGUCAAGCGUGCUUGGGCGAGAGUAGUACUAGGAUGGGUGACCUCUUGUGAAGUCCUCGUAUUGCACCAC